rnacentral:snRNA from 1 species
AAAGAUGGCAGGGGAGACACCAUGAGCAGGAAGGUGGUUUUCCCAGGGCGAGGCUCAUCCAUUGCACUGCAGAUGUGCUGACCCCUGUGAUUUCCCCAAAUGCGGGAAACUCGACUGCAUGAUUUUGGCAGUGGGGGACUGCGUUCGCGCUCAG